rnacentral:siRNA from 1 species
GCUGCUUUGUUGAGCCGUCACAC